GGGUUGUGAGGUUAAGCGACUAAGCGUACACGGUGGAUGCCCUGGCAGUCAGAGGCGAUGAAGGGCGUGCUAAUCUGCGAUAAGCGCCGGUAAGGUGAUAUGAACCGUUAUAACCGGCGAUACCCGAAUGGGGAAACCCAGUGUGAUUCGUCACACUAUCAUUAACUGAAUCCAUAGGUUAAUGAGGCGAACCGGGGGAACUGAAACAUCUAAGUACCCCGAGGAAAAGAAAUCAACCGAGAUUCCCCCAGUAGCGGCGAGCGAACGGGGAGGAGCCCAGAGCCUGAAUCAGCAUGUGUGUUAGUGGAAGCGUCUGGAAAGGCGCGCGAUACAGGGUGACAGCCCCGUACACAAAAGCGCAUGUGCUGUGAGCUCGAUGAGUAGGGCGGGACACGUGGUAUCCUGUCUGAAUAUGGGGGGACCAUCCUCCAAGGCUAAAUACUCCUGACUGACCGAUAGUGAACCAGUACCGUGAGGGAAAGGCGAAAAGAACCCCGGCGAGGGGAGUGAAAAAGAACCUGAAACCGUGUACGUACAAGCAGUGGGAGCACCCUUCGGGGUGUGACUGCGUACCUUUUGUAUAAUGGGUCAGCGACUUAUAUUCUGUAGCAAGGUUAACCGUAUAGGGGAGCCGGAGGGAAACCGAGUCUUAAUUGGGCGUUAAGUUGCAGGGUAUAGACCCGAAACCCGGUGAUCUAGCCAUGGGCAGGUUGAAGGUUGGGUAACACUAACUGGAGGACCGAACCGACUAAUGUUGAAAAAUUAGCGGAUGACCUGUGGCUGGGGGUGAAAGGCCAAUCAAACCGGGAGAUAGCUGGUUCUCCCCGAAAGCUAUUUAGGUAGCGCCUCGUGAAUUCAUCUCCGGGGGUAGAGCACUGUUUCGGCUAGGGGGCCAUCCCGGCUUACCAACCCGAUGCAAACUGCGAAUACCGGAGAAUGUUAUCACGGAGACACACGGCGGGUGCUAACGUCCGUCGUGAAGAGGGAAACAACCCAGACCGCCAGCUAAGGUCCCAAAGUCAUGGUUAAGUGGGAAACGAUGUGGGAAGGCCCAGACAGCCAGGAUGUUGGCUUAGAAGCAGCCAUCAUUUAAAGAAAGCGUAAUAGCUCACUGGUCGAGUCGGCCUGCGCGGAAGAUGUAACGGGGCUAAACCAUGCACCGAAGCUGCGGCAGCGAACGUAUCACCCAAGACAACUUUACGGAGUUGACGAUUGACGGAGCGAAGCGACGUCAAGCGUUCAUUAAGUCGAGUUGGCUUAGGGAUACGUUCGUUGGUAGGGAGCGUUCUGUAAGCCUGUGAAGGUGUGUCGUGAGGCAUGCUGGAGGUAUCAGAAGUGCGAAUGCUGACAUAAGUAACGAUAAAGCGGGUGAAAAGCCCGCUCGCCGGAAGACCAAGGGUUCCUGUCCAACGUUAAUCGGGGCAGGGUGAGUCGACCCCUAAGGCGAGGCCGAAAGGCGUAGUCGAUGGGAAACGGGUUAAUAUUCCCGUACUUGGUGUUACUGCGAAGGGGGGACGGAGAAGGCUAUGUUGGCCGGGCGACGGUUGUCCCGGUUUAAGCGUGUAGGUGUGUGUUCCGUAAAUCCGGUUCACUUUAACACUGAGGCGUGACGACGAGGCACUACGGUGCUGAAGCAACAAAUGCCCUGCUUCCGGGAAAGCCUCUAAGCAUCAGGUAACACGAAAUCGUACCCCAAACCGACACAGGUGGUCAGGUAGAGAAUACCAAGGCGCUUGAGAGAACUCGGGUGAAGGAACUAGGCAAAAUGGUGCCGUAACUUCGGGAGAAGGCACGCUGACACGUAGGUGAAGUGAUUUACUCAUGGAGCUGAAGUCAGUCGAAGAUACCAGCUGGCUGCAACUGUUUAUUAAAAACACAGCACUGUGCAAACACGAAAGUGGACGUAUACGGUGUGACGCCUGCCCGGUGCCGGAAGGUUAAUUGAUGGGGUCAGCGUAAGCGAAGCUCCUGAUCGAAGCCCCGGUAAACGGCGGCCGUAACUAUAACGGUCCUAAGGUAGCGAAAUUCCUUGUCGGGUAAGUUCCGACCUGCACGAAUGGCGUAAUGAUGGCGAGGCUGUCUCCACCCGAGACUCAGUGAAAUUGAACUCGCUGUGAAGAUGCAGUGUACCCGCGGCAAGACGGAAAGACCCCGUGAACCUUUACUAUAGCUUGACACUGAACAUUGAGCCUUGAUGUGUAGGAUAGGUGGGAGGCUUUGAAGUGUGGACGCCAGUCUGCAUGGAGCCGACCUUGAAAUACCACCCUUUAAUGUUUGAUGUUCUAACGUGGACCCGUAAUCCGGGUUGCGGACAGUGUCUGGUGGGUAGUUUGACUGGGGCGGUCUCCUCCUAAAGAGUAACGGAGGAGCACGAAGGUUGGCUAAUCCUGGUCGGACAUCAGGAGGUUAGUGCAAUGGCAUAAGCCAGCUUGACUGCGAGCGUGACGGCGCGAGCAGGUGCGAAAGCAGGUCAUAGUGAUCCGGUGGUUCUGAAUGGAAGGGCCAUCGCUCAACGGAUAAAAGGUACUCCGGGAUAACAGGCUGAUACCGCCCAAGAGUUCAUAUCGACGGCGGUGUUUGGCACCUCGAUGUCGGCUCAUCACAUCCUGGGGCUGAAGUAGGUCCCAAGGGUAUGGCUGUUCGCCAUUUAAAGUGGUACGCGAGCUGGGUUUAGAACGUCGUGAGACAGUUCGGUCCCUAUCUGCCGUGGGCGCUGGAGAACUGAGGGGCUGCUCCUAGUACGAGAGGACCGGAGUGGACGCAUCACUGGUGUUCGGGUUGUCAUGCCAAUGGCACUGCCCGGUAGCUAAAUGCGGAAGAGAUAAGUGCUGAAAGCAUCUAAGCACGAAACUUGCCCCGAGAUGAGUUCUCCCUGAGACUUAGAGUCUCCUGAAGGAACGUUGAAGACGACGACGUUGAUAGGCCGGGUGUGUAAGCGCAGCGAUGCGUUGAGCUAACCGGUACUAAUGAACCGUGAGGCUUAACCUUACAACGCCGAAG
rnacentral:rRNA from 1 species